GCUUGUCUCAAAGCUUAAGCCAUGCAAGUCUCAGUACAAACUGUAUUAAAGUGAAACCGCGAAAGGCUCAGUAAACCAGUCAUGAUUCACUUGAGUAAACGUGACUGUCUUUGGAUAACUGUGGUAAUUCUAGAGCUAAUACAUGCAAUCAAGUCCCGACCAGCUCGUCUGGGAAGGACGCUUUUAUUAGAUCAAGACCAAUCGCCCGGUUCGCUGGGCGUUUCCUUGGUGACUCUAGGUAACACAUCAGAUCGCAUGGUCUCGCACCGGCGACUUAUCUUUCAAAUGCCUGACUUAUCAACUGUCGAUGGUAGACUCUAUGUCUACCAUGGUUGUAACGGGUAACGGGGAAUCAGGGUUCGAUUCCGGAGAGGGAGCCUGAGAAACGGCUACCACAUCCAAGGAAGGCAGCAGGCACGCAAAUUACCCACUCCCGGCACGGGGAGGUAGUGACAAAAAAUAACGAUACGGGACUCAUAUGAGGCCCCGUAAUCGGAAUGAGUACACUUUAAAUCCUUUAACAAGGAUCCAUUGGAGGGCAAGUCUGGUGCCAGCAGCCGCGGUAAUUCCAGCUCCAAUAGCGUAUAUUAAAGUUGUUGCGGUUAAGGGGACAGGCGGCUUAUAGCCGCACGAGAUUGAGCAAUAACAGGUCUGUGAUGCCCUUAGAUGUCCUGGGCCGCACGCGCGCUACACUGAAGGAAUCAGCGUGUGUCUCCCUAGCCGAAAGGCCCGGGUAAUCCGCUGAACCUCCUGCGUGCUAGGAAUUGGGGCUUGCAAUUGUUCCCCAUGAACGAGGAAUUCCCAGUAAGCGCGAGUCAUAAGCUCGCGUUGAUUACGUCCCUGCCCUUUGUACACACCGCCCGUCGCUACUACCGAUUGAAUGAUUUAGUGAGGUCUUCGGACUGGCGGUAAUCCCUACCGACUUGUCGGUAUUGAUGAACGCUGGAAAGAUGACCAAACUUGAUCAUUUAGAGGAAGUAAAAGUCGUAACAAGGUUUCCCUUGGCAAAUGCUUUCGCAAAAAGCUCGUAGUUGGUUCUGCGUGCUACGAUGUCGGUUCGCCGCCUGCCGGUGUAACUGGCAUGCCGUGGCAUGUCCUGUCGGUGGCGUGCGGGGGGCUUUGUUAGGUGAUGGCCCAGCUCGAGAGAGUUGGUGUCCAUUGGCCAGAAGUUCAACUCGUUCGCCUACUCUAUCCUAUCUAGGUGCUCUUUACCGAGUGUCGAGGUAGGCCGACACGUUUACUUUGAACAAAUUAGAGUGCUCAAAGCAGGCUGAAAUUUCUGCCUGAAUAGUGGUGCAUGGAAUAAUAAAACAGGACCUUGGUUCUAUUUUGUUGGUUCUUAGGAACACAAGGUAAUGAUCAAUACGGACAGGCGGGGGCAUUCGUAUUGCGACGUUAGAGGUGAAAUUCUUGGAUCGUCGCAAGACGCACAAGAGCGAAAGCAUUUGCCAAGUAUGUCUUGAUUGAUCAAGAACGAAAGUUAGAGGUUCGAAGGCGAUCAGAUACCGCCCUAGUUCUAACCAUAAACGAUGCCAGCCAGCGAUCCGCCGAUGUUCCUCCGAUGACUCGGCGGGGAGCUUUUUCCCGGGAAACCAAAGCUUUUGGGUUCCGGGGGAAGUAUGGUUGCAAAGCUGAAACUUAAAGGAAUUGACGGAAGGGCACCACCAGGAGUGGAGCCUGCGGCUUAAUUUGACUCAACACGGGAAACCUCACCAGGCCAGGACAUUGGAAGGAUUGACAGAUUGAUAGCUCUUUCUUGAUUCAGUGGGUAGUGGUGCAUGGCCGUUCUUAGUUGGUGGAUCGAUUUGUCUGGUUAAUUCCGAUAACGAACGAGACUCUAGCUUAUUAACUAGGCGUACUCCGGUGCCCUCGUCACCGGCGAAACUCAUUCUUCUU
rnacentral:rRNA from 1 species